rnacentral:rRNA from 2 species
UGGGGAAUAUUGCGCAAUGGGGGCAACCCUGACGCAGCAACGCCGCGUGCGGGACGAAGGCCUUCGGGUUGUAAACCGCUUUCAGCAGGGAAGACAUCGACGGUACCUGCAGAAGAAGCCCCGGCUAACUACGUGCCAGCAGCCGCGGUAACACGUAGGGGGCGAGCGUUAUCCGGAUUCAUUGGGCGUAAAGCGCGCGCAGGCGGCGCGCCAAGCGGGACCUCUAAUCUGGGGGCUCAACCCCCAGCCGGGUCCCGAACUGGCGCGCUCGUGUCCGGUAGGGGAGGUCGGAAUUCCCGGUGUAGCGGUGGAAUGCGCAGAUAUCGGGAGGAACACCGAUGGCGAAGGCAGACCUCUGGGCCGCGACAGACGCUGAGGCGCGAAAGCUAGGGGAGCGAACAGG